rnacentral:misc_RNA from 1 species
GUACAUUAGUGCUUGCGCACGACAAUAAAUUUCAUUACAUUCGAGUGUGUGUAAAAAUCCUCUGCCGGCCGAAGCUAGCAAGAGGCCAAAGGUGCACAGGGUAUUGGAUGAAAGUCACCGACGUGCACUUGCCAAAGCCGAAGCCGGCCAGCACUGAAGGCAACCAUUCGCAAUCAUUAAUGAUCCUUCCGCAGGUUCACCUACGGAAA